rnacentral:rRNA from 1 species
AAAUUGAAGAGUUUGAUCAUGGCUCAGAUUGAACGCUGGCCGCAGGCCUAACACAUGCAAGUCCAAUGGUAACAGCAAGCACCUUGCUGCUUUGCUGACGAGUGGCGGACGGGCUAGUAAUGUCUUGGCAACUGCCUGAUGGAGGGGGAUAACUACUGGAAACGGUAGCUAAUACCG